rnacentral:lncRNA from 1 species
UAAACUAUGAAUAGCAUAAUAUAUGGUUUCUAUUAUAUAUUGUAUUAUUUGAGUAUUUUCUUGUAAUGCUCUUUCAAUAAUUAUCUCCAAGACUUUAUGUUAUUUUAUAGAAUAUUGGGACCCCUAAAAAGCCCCAAUUUUUGGAGGCAUAAUACCAUAGUUUGGUAACUUCAGAACUCAAUAUCUCGAAGUGAGAACAUCGGGGAA